GGAAGGUUGGCAGAGCGGUUGAAUGCACCAGUCUUGAAAACUGGCGAGGGCGCAAGCCCUUCGUGAGUUCGAAUCUCACACCUUCCG
rnacentral:tRNA from 1 species